GACGAACGCUGGCGGCGUGCUUAACACAUGCAAGUCGAACGAUGAAGCCCAGCUUGCGGGGUGGAAGAGUGGCGAACGGGUGAGUAACACGUGAGUAACCUGCCCUGAACUCUGGGAUAAGCACUGGAAACGGUGUCUAAUACUGGCUACGACCUAUCACCACAUGGUGUGUGGGUGGAAAGAUUUAGCGGUUCUGGAUGGACUCGAGGCCUAUCAGCUAGAUGGAGAGGUAAUGGCUCACCAUGGCGACGACGGGUAGCCGGCCUGAGAGGGUGACCGGCCACACUGGGACUGCGACACGGCCCAGACUCCUACGGGAGGCAGCAGUGGAGAAUAUUGCGCAACGGGCGCAAGCCUGAUGCAGCGGCGCCGCGUGAGGGAUGACGGCCUUCGGGUUGUAAACCUCUUUUAGUAGGGAAGAAGCGAAAGUGACGGUACCUGCAGAAAAAGCACCGGCUAACUACGUG
rnacentral:rRNA from 1 species